rnacentral:rRNA from 1 species
UACGUAGGGUGCAAGCGUUGUCCGGAAUUAUUGGGCGUAAAGAGCUCGUAGGCGGUCUGUCACGUCGGCUGUGAAAUCCCGAGGCCGUCAACCUCGGGUCUGCAGUCGAUACGGGCAAACUAGAGUAUUGCAGGGGAGACUGGAAUUCCUGGUGUAGCGGUGAAAUGCGCAGAUAUCAGGAGGAACACCGGUGGCGAAGGCGGGUCUCUGGGCAAUAACUGACGCUGAGGAGCGAAAGCGUGGGGAGCGAACAGG